rnacentral:rRNA from 1 species
AUUGAACGCUGGCGGCAGGCCUAACACAUGCAAGUCGAGCGGAGGAAGGGAGCUUGCUCCUGUAUUCAGCUGCGGACGGGUGAGUAAUGCCUAGGAAACUGCCUGUUCGUGGGUGAUAACGUCCCGGAACGGGCGCUAAUACCGCAUACGUCCUGACGGAGCGAGUGGGGGAUCUUCGGACCUCACGCUAUCAGAUGAGCCUAGGUCGGAUUAGCUAGUUGGUGUGGUAAAGGCCUACCAAGGCGACGAUCCGUAACUUGUCUGAGAGGAUGAUCAGUCACACUGGAACUGAGACACGGUCCAGAGUCCUACGGGAGGCAGCAGUGGGGAAUAUUGGACAAUGGGCGAAAGCCUGAUCCAGCCAUGCCGCGUGUGUGAAGAAGGUCUUAGGAUUGUAAAGCACUUUAAGUUGGGAGGAAGGGAAGUAAGUUAAUACCUUGCUGUUUUGACGUUACCAACAGAAUAAGCCCCGGCUAACUUCGUG